GACGAACGCUGGCGGCGUGCUUAACACAUGCAAGUCGAACGGAAAGGCCCUGCUUUUGUGGGGUGCUCGAGUGGCGAACGGGUGAGUAACACGUGAGUAACCUGCCCUUGACUUUGGGAUAACUUCAGGAAACUGGGGCUAAUACCGGAUAGGAGCUCCUGCUGCCUGGUGGGGGUUGGAAAGUUUCGGCGGUUGGGGAUGGACUCGCGGCUUAUCAGCUUGUUGGUGGGGUAGUGGCUUACCAAGGCUUUGACGGGUAGCCGGCCUGAGAGGGUGACCGGCCACAUUGGGACUGAGAUACGGCCCAGACUCCUACGGGAGGCAGCAGUGGGGAAUAUUGCACAAUGGGCGGAAGCCGGAUGCAGCAACGCCGCGUGCGGGAUGACGGCCUUCGGGUUGUAAACCGCUUUCGCCUGUGACGAAGCGUGAGUGACGGUAAUGGGUAAAGAAGCACCGGCUAACUACGUG
rnacentral:rRNA from 1 species